rnacentral:rRNA from 1 species
AAUCUGCCUUUAUGACGGGGACAACAGUUGGAAACGGCUGCUAAAACCCGAUGUGCCCUUCGGGGUGAAAUAUUUAUAGCCUGAAGAUGAGCUCGCGUCUGAUUAGCUAGUAGGUGAGGUAAAGGCUCACCUAGGCGACGAUCAGUAACUGGUCUGAGAGGAUGACCAGUCACACUGGGACUGAGACACGGCCCAGACUCCUACGGGAGGCAGCAGUGGGGAAUUUUCCGCAAUGGGCGCAAGCCUGACGGAGCAAUACCGCGUGAGG